CGUCAAAAUGCUAUAAAAGACUUUAAAAAUACACGCAGUUUAUGUACUUCACUACGCAAAAUGGUUUCUUGGAUAAAAUAAAUACAUAGUCUUUAACAAACGAGGGAAAUCAAGAUUAUCUGUCCGUGGACUCUGAGCUUUGACUUUGAGAGAUGAAAAGGGGGGAAUUCGUGGACAAGACACAGGCAAGUGAUUGAAUAGAAAAAGCUGUCUUGAAGAAAACAGAACAGUGUCGGUGAGGAAAAGAUCGAGAGGAUUCUGAAUGAUGUACUGGAAAGAAUGGCUUAUGUCUGGAAUCAGUCCCACUGCAGCUAUUGUCGUUCAACUUGAAGGAAUAUCCAUAGAGGGACCACAUUCUACUUUGACGAGUAACCUGAAUUAGUGGAGGCAAAGAAACUGGAAAUUUGGUACAAGGAUUCAUCCGAUGUGGGAUAAAGGGGAUUGUUGGUUUAAACGGUACAACAGCAGAUGGGUCAUCCCAAGUAGAGACCGGGGAAUUCAAGACUUGCAUGUUCAUAAGGUGAGGUAACCAUUUCUUACAGGCGUGAACAUGCACAAGAACCCCGGAUCAUAGCAACUAGGCCUGGUAAA